rnacentral:lncRNA from 1 species
GUAGGGGAAUGGCCCUUUGUGGGCGUGGGUAGCCAUUCUUGUUUGGGGCAGAAGCCUGACAGUUGAAGUUAACGGUUCUCAUCUUUACCUUGGGCAAGAAUUCCCCUUCCCGGUCGUUUUGAUUUCUGAAGUCGAGGAAAGAAACCCCCAGAAUCCAUCAGGUUGCUGAGAUUUAACCCAUUCGUUGCCUAAUUGGCUAAAGGACGUCUCCGUUUAUCAUAUAAAUUCUAAGUUGGGAAGGGAUGUUUUGCUCAAGAAACUGUAUUUUAAGAACCAUCCUGUGUCUCAAAGUGGUGGGAAUGGGGGCUUGUGAAAGGAACGAAAGGGUAGUGUCCAUCAUCAGGAAGUUUCCUGUCUGGUAGAGGAGACAUUGUCCUUGCCCUUAGCGAACAGCAAGUAAGUUCGUCGUUCGCAUUGCGGAAGGAGGCAAAAUCAUUCUCCAGAAGCCGUAGCUCCAAAGAAUUCCCAGUUUAGCUCUGUGGAAAGCACCCACCUCUUUCCCCCAUUCUGUGUGGGUCUGAGAGCCCUGGGCGGCCCGCGGGGGUGGCGGUGGGUGUCGUACCAGAGUCUGAGAAGCAUUGAACCCCAUUUAGCCCAAGUGACCUCGGGAAAUCCAGAUGCUUGAACCAGGAGUUGGGGGAGGGAAGAAGAGGAAGAAAUAUUUUUAGUGAAGCUGCAGCUAAAAGAGGCACAGAUAGGGCCUGCUUUGAGAGGACCUGGGAAGGAGAGGUUAGUCAAGGAAAUAAGGCCGGAAGAAGAGCCAUAAGCAAACGUUGGGAAGUGGAGAGCAGGCGUUCAGGAUUUAACCUUGCUGGAGGAAAAGCCUUGAGAGGACCAAAGCUUGGCCAAGAGCCACUGGGUGGAAUCCAGGCAAGCUCAGUCAUUAAGUUAGGAUCCUAGACCCCAGUUCCACCUGAGACCAACUAAGAUGGAGAUUUCCCCCUGGAGCAGAGCUAAAGAGCAAAGCAGCCGAAGGAUGAGGAAUCUUCUUUUGAAAAAGGCUGCAGUUUAGCAAGAAAAUUCAAUUCCCACUGAGAGGAAAAGAAGAGUUAAGGGGUGAACGUCAUCCAGUCUGAAUGAAGGAGAAAGAACAAGUGAGAUAACGAAGCCAGAAGACAGAAAGCGGUGGGCCGCAGCAAGGGACAAAAUGUGUCAGACAAAGUACCGAAGGUCAAAAUCCAGGCCAUCUGGUUACCAGGGGAGUAGGAGGGAAGGGAUAUAGGGAGAGGGAGGACAUGAAUGGGAG